rnacentral:lncRNA from 1 species
CCGGAUCGAAAGAACGAAAAAAAAAUUGUCAACAAAUAUUAUUUAUCACACAUCGAAGAGUUCAUCAGGUUUUACGGAUCAGUUCAUCACGCUGCUGCGCUUUCUAACAUCAUCAGCAGCAGCAGACAGCAGAGCAGCGUAUGUACAGCAUCAUCAUCAGUUCAUGAAUCAGAGAAGUUACAGAGAGAUUCUUCACAUUAGUAUCAUCGAGAAUCAUCAAGGAUUUCAGAUUGGUACCCAAUGGAACGGUGGGGGGGGGGGGGGGGGGGGGGGGGGGGGGGUUGUACAUCAUCACGGCCGGGAAACCCCUGACGGUAUCCAAGGGAUUAAGACGUACCAAAUUCCCCUAUCACCUGGCGGCGGCGGGCGAGGGGGCAGGGGCGCAGCGGGCGGAGGGGGACGAGGGGGGCGAGGGGGCAGGGAAGCCGCGGGCGGAGGCGGAAGAAGCGCAGUAGCGGGCGGACGGAGCGGGUCGCUGUCGGCGGAGGUCGGCGGGUUGGUGGAGGCGGCGCCGGGCCCGCGGAUGCGGAGGCGCGCGGCGUCGUACGCGGCCGCAGCCUCCUCGGCGGUGUCGAAGGUGCCGAGCCAGACGCGGCGGCCGCGCUGUGGAUCGCGAAUCUCCGCCGCGAAUUUGCCCCACGGCCGCCGCCGCACGCCCCUGAACCGCACCCCCUCCACCGCGUCCUCCUCCUCCUCCCCUCCUCCGCCGCCGGUCUGGAGCAGGACGCGGCUGCGCUUCACGCUCACCGCCUCCCCCUCGCCCUCCUCCUCGUCGUCCUCGUCCUCGCUGGACGACGAGUCGGUGGCGUCCUCGUCGUGCACGAUGAUCCGCACCACCCGGCACCUCGGCGCCGCCGCGGUAGCAGCAGCCCUCGCCACCUCCUUCACCUCCACCUCCCCCACCUCCGCUUCCGCCUUCAUCUCCUCCUUCACCUUCAGGCUAGUAGGGUCCAUCCCCACGCCUCGGCACCCUCUCCUCACCCCAUACACACCGCUCUCACCACCGGCUCAGCCCACCAUCGCGGCGGCCAUGGGCGCGCCUCAGCUAGGGCUAGGGCUCCGAUCUGCUCCGGCAAGCAACAAAUCGGCGGGCGCGGCGAAUUUCGGGAGGCGAGCGGGAAGAAGAGAAAGCAAAGGGGAAAUUGGGGACAGACUCGAGGAGGCGAGGAAGGGGAAGAGGCAUUUUAGCUCAACAGAGGCAGGGGCGCUUCGGUAAUUCCGCGGUGGGGGUGCCUUGCAAGGAAUCUCCGCCUCAGGGCGUGGGGUGCCCACGUGGCGGGGCGGUCGCCGUGCGGGGCAUAUUCGCUUGGGAACGGGAGGAGGGGAGGCGGGGGAGGGCGGAAUGACGGGGGUGCCCCCUGGGUUGGGUUCGGAUCUCGAAUAUUCGGGUGGGUUCAAAUUUCAAACGGGGGUUAAAACCGGUUAGGGGUGCGUGUGGGAGUUUUCAGGGAGGGGACCGUUUCUAGAAGCUGCUGAAACUGCUGGGCUUGAACAGGCUCGGCUCCAGCCCGAAGAACGGCAGGUUCAACUUGUGCUUCAAGAACUUGGCAAACCUUGAAAAGAAAGAAAUACGUGCUCCCCCGUUACAUAAUUAGAUGCGGGUCACUAGUUUAAUCAUGUAAUAUUAUCGUAGCAACUAAGAUCUGUUUGAGUAUAUAAGAUGGCCAAAAUGCCCUUCCAAAUAAAUGAGCAGAAUCAGGUGUCUAAAUGAUUUGACAUGGACACCUCAACUUCAGAGGGGUUUGGGACUUGGGACUAGGAUAUAUCUCGUGAGGGCAAAAUAGGAAAUCGUAUGUUUAUAUGAGCGAAAAAUGUAAAUGGGUGAAAACUGACAAAUGUUCGUGCUCGAAGGCUAGUACUCAGCAUGUCCUUUUCGAAAAAAAAAGAAAGGUAAUAUAAGAAUUAGUUCUCCAGGUUACCCUGGACUAAACUUUAGUCCAUCCAUUUUGACCCUUUUUAAUUCCUAAAAUGUCAAAUAUGUAGAUUAAAAUAUGAACUAAACCUUUUAGUCCUCUAGUUCAAGGGGCGUGGACUAAAGUGAACUAAAAAUCCUGAAAGACACCCCUGCUCCUCAUUUACUGCCCAUCCCACCCAUCCCGAACCUUUUCUCCCCGCCGCUCUCUCCCCUCCCUGCUUGCAUCCGCCUCCAGAGCUCAGCCGCGCUACCCCAUCGGCCACGUCGGAGCUCGGCCGGUCCCCGGUCGCUACCUGCCGAGCCUCACCUCCCUCUCUCCCUGCAGCCUGCACCACGCCUCCUGGCCGCCGCCUGCCGUGCCUCACCUCUCUCCCUCCCUGCAGCCCGCGCCAAGCUCCCCGGCUGUGCCUCGCCUUGCCUCCCUCUUUCUUCCUGCCUGGGGUUCAAGCACCGGAGUUGAAGAAGCUCCAGCUGAGAGGCGGCGGCAGCACGACCUCCGCCACCGGCACCAGCCGCCGAAGGUGCGUGAUGAAGGGGAACGGGAGGGUACAUAGUGAAUGAUUAGGGGUAUUAUCGUAUUUGUUCAUCUGCAUUAACAAACAGGGACUAAAGUUUAGUUUAGUCCACGUACUAAGCGGGGCUAAACAUGGGUAGCACCUUCUUACUUGUUUUUUAAUUGAAAAUAAGACUGCCUUGUUUCUCCUUGAUAUUACCUGUUUAAAAGGCAGCGUGGGUAGUGUUUAUGAGUUUGGUGAUCGCAACACCUUUACUAUUAAAAUAUUAUAUUUUAAAAAACUCAGUGGGACCACUUCACCAACAAAAGGCAGCCUAGGCUUCAACCAACUUUUUAUUUGUCUAUAGGACCUAAAAGCCCGGAGCUGCUUCUAACCUUUGGCUGUUUGCUCUCCCUCUAGGAUUAGGGCUAUAUACUUUUCAUUUUUUAUACGAACACAUUGGAUAAUUUUCAUGUAAACACAUGCGUGACUGCAUUCAGACAUACUCUCUCCAUUGCAAAAUAAGUGUUUUUUUACAUUUAAAUUUUAUCCCACAAAGCUAGAACCUGAGCCGAUAUUUUCAUUCGAUGUAAUGGGACCAGAAAAGUCACUUUGCACAGUCCUAGUAGAAUCCCCUAAGCUCGUUGUGACCCUGAGAAAUGCAACAAAACAUUGUGCCCUUUAGCCGACCUUGUUUAGCACAUGAUACACCUGCAGUGCACAAUCAUUUUCUCUGUUGACAGUUGCCUGCAGUACAGCUGCAUCUUAACUUGACUCUGGCUCUACUAGUAUAGCAUAUAUAUUUAAAAACUCAGUCUACUGGAUCGUGACAUACAUACAUAUUUAACAUGCUGCCUAGUUGCUAUGGUAUAAGCCAAAUUCUCUGACACUAACAAGUGUACAAGAUUUUCUGAUGUGUCAUGUGUGGUCCAUUUCUAUUGGCAAAACUAUAUACAGUGUCUUGGUUACAUGAGCUUGCUAAUAUCACCCAAUCACAAAAGAACUCUAGUAUAUUGCUAACGAUUAAUGAAGUGGCCUCAUUGAAAUCGAUCCGUUCUUCUGGGUUGCCGAUCGGUGGAGAUGUUGAUUCUCUCAUCUCGAAGCAUGUUCAUGCUGGGAGCUAACAACCUUGUGUAGCGAUCAAAAUACAGUAGCUGCUUCAUGAGAAGAGCGAAUUCCCGGGGAAAUUUCAGCCCGUAAGACUCGCUAACUCUCACCUGGGAGAUGCGGUAACAUGAGUGUCAGCUUUCAUUUUCUAUUCCUUAGUUUCUCAAAAAUAUUACGCAUAGCUUAGGAAAAUUCAUGAAAGCAUGGCGAAUAAAUUAAAAUCUAAACAGUGCCACCUUUCAAUUUUAGAUAGCAACAUGCACCACAUCAAGACAACUAUUGCAAUCAUGAAAAACAAUACAUAAACAGUAUGUCAGCUAAUCAUGUACUCCAUCAUGACAGCCGAAUUAUCGACAGGCCAACACACUAAGAUAUGGCUGGGCCUCAAUCCUUUGAGAAAUCCAUUUUAGAAACUUCAAUAUGCCCACAUAUUAACCCAACUAGUGAACGUAAAAAAAAAACUUCUGAGUUAAAGAAAAAAUUGAACAGUAGGAGCAAUAACAUUAUCACAGCUUAUUAUCCUACGUAAUCUUUUUCUUGCAGUAGCAGUACGCAGUGGCGAAGCUAGAGCAAAUUGAAGGGGGGGUGUGCUUGCCUUGUGGGUGCAUAAAGUUGAGUUGUAGGGGGUGCAUAUAUGGUGAAAAUUUGGACCUAACAACUGUUUUUGCAAAUUUUUGUGGGUGCAUUAGCACCCCCUAAUUUGACUAUACCCUCGCCCCUGGCAGUACGCCAGUACCAUUCUUCUGCUCUAGACAGAAUGGCCAAAGAAAGUAACUCACCAGAUCAAGAAACAGAGCAUUCAUCUGUCUCUCAUCAAGGACAACAUUAGCAGAUACAGCUGUAGCAUCAGGACCUCUUGCUGCUGCGACUAUGAUUUCAGUAUCCAAGUCCUGCUUAACAAACAAAAAACAUUAGUGCAUUUUUCCAUGCCAAAUAAGCUAAGAAUGGGGUACUAAGUACAACACAAACUAAGAAGACAAGAACCUCCAUAAAUAUAAAACUAGUCACAUAACAUUGAAGUGCAUUAGUUGCCUAUUAUUUGCAUCUUAAUUGAGGAUCUGAGAUGUAACUGUUACAACUGCAAGAUCAUGUUUCCUAUGGUAUUAACUUAAAUACAGUUUCAGCAAAAUGUUUCUCCAGAAAACAGCAAAGCACUAACAGAGUAACAGUUGAUUUAGGUCACUCAGAAGAUGGUUCAUAAUUUCCUCAAGCCCUUUUCUUCUAAAAAAGGUUGAUCGAGCCUUCAGGAUAUUAAUAAAUAGCCUACUGUCAUUUGGAAACAUUACCUGUAUUGAUGAGAAUAUCUUUCGCAAGUCCUUUGCAAAUUCAUCAAUAUUUAUAUCAUUCCCUGUAGCACCCAUUUCAGAAAGGGCAGAGGCCAUAGCAUCAUAAUCCUCAGCUGCGAAAGAAGCCAAGAAGACCUCCAUAGCAGCCCAAGUCCUUGGAGAUAUGCGACCAACAAUACCUGAAAAGAAUUAAUUUUAAUAUAAUUAUACAACUAAUGAAGAAAGUUGAAUAAAGUAGCACAAUACCACAAUCAACCUAGAGUGCUAGGAAUUUUAGUGUAUUGAGCAAGAUUUUAAAUAGCGGGCUAUAGCGCCGCUAUAGCCCGCUAUUAGCGUUGCAGAGGGUUCCCGCUAGGAUAAGGCACUUUGCACCGCUAUUGCAGCUAUGACAGCUAAAUCGCGAUUUAGCGGCGCUAUGUUGCUUAGCGAUUGCAGUCAUUUAGCGCCGCUACGCCUGAAUCUGCCUCCGCCCACUGCUACUCCGCUGUUCCAAGGAGCUGUACUGCUGUCCGAUGUCCCAUAGCUCAUCCUCUGCUCACCGAUGGAGGCCGUCAAGGUGAGGCCGGAGUCCACCAGGAAGAUGGCCAUGGGGCUCCGAGUUCCUGCAGUCCCGCCUCUGCUCACCGUUGGAGGUCCUCCAAGGUCAGGCCGCAGUCCGCCAGGAAGAUGGCCAUGGGGGCUGAGGGGUGGAGCAGCGGCAGGGGGCAGGAGGCAGGGAGAGAGCACUGGCACGUGUGCGUGAGGUGGGGCCGUGGGGGAGCUCCGGAACAGCACAUCAAAAGGGAUCCCAUCAAAAGGGGGCGCAAGGUCAAUGAAGGUGCAGCGGCACUGCGACAGGGAGUAACGGAAGGCAGAUAAUGACUAGCAGUAGACCAGUAGCAGGCCGUGCAAGAAACUGGAUAAGGCCCAUGAACCCAAGCCCAGCAAAAUGAUUUACAGUUGUUGUAUGUACGUGUACAGUUGUAUUGCUGGUUUUGGCCUUCUAAUUUCAUGCAUAUUUAUUCAUUUAUUUUUUAUAUUUAUGUAAUCCGCUAAAUAGCUUAGCCCGCUAUAGCUGCAUAUAGCUUUUGGAGAAGACUGCCGCUAAACUCUAUAGCCCGCUAUUUAAAACCAUGGUAUUGAGAGGUAAAAGACAACCCUAAGUUGUGUGGCAUGGUUCACGCUCCAUUACAUUUACAAUGUAGAUAAUCAGCCAAUGUAAAAACUACUACCGGGAGAAAUGGCUAAAGCAUACCGAAAUCAAUGAAACCAAUUCGCCCAUCACGGAGCAACCAAAGGUUCCCAGCAUGCACAUCGGCAUGGAAGGAUUCACACGAAAUCAAGCUUCCAAACCUGCGAUAUUUUUGCAUUUUUCAGAAGCUCAAACCAUGGCAUUACAAAGUUCAAAAGGGAAAAAAAACUCAAAAUUGUAUGACAUCACAAGAUAAAGUGAAGCAGCUGUGUAGCUUACCAGACAUUAAGGGCAGUGACUAAAGUCAACUCAGGAUCAGGAACAAGAGACCUUAUAGAAUCAAGGUCAGUAAGCGGAACUCCGUACAAUCUUUCCAUAGUCAACACACGUUUUGUGCUACAGUGUUGAUACACAAAUGGGGCUUUUGCCUGCCUGUCAAAUCCCAUAGCAUCUAUGUAUCCCUGAAAAGCCUGAAUAUUUGCAGCCUCUUUUCUAAAAUCAACUUCUUCAAGCAUUGAUUCCUUUAUAUCCUUGACAAUGCCUACCUAUAAUAAAAAAUCUUAGUCAAGAUGAUGUUUAUUAAUUAUACACUUUGCAGUUUGUCUAAUUCAUUGAAUGACAAUAUGAAGGCUGAAUUUUCUUUUUUCUUAACAAAACUUAGCAAAAUAUAAAGCAGAUUUCAUAAUGCUUGCUGGCCCCACUUCAAUACAAAAAAAACUCGACCUGGGGGGGGGGGGGGGUGAGGGGGGUUAAGACAGCCCCACUUCAAACUUCAAUACAUAUGAACUAAGUUUUCUUGAUUUCUGAUUAUAUUGUGCAUAUCAUGGAAGUUGUUACAUUUCUGCCUGGACGCAGCCUCAAUAUCUAUCUUUUUUUUUUGGGAAAGGAGACCACUAUGCUUUUAUUGAAAGCAAUAACAGGUUUAUGAAAAUUCACAAACUUCUGGGGUUGGCAGUUACACUAUGAAGCCACACAAAAGGAUGAACCAAGCAAACUAUCUUAUUACAUGCCAGACUAAAUUGAAACCAUGUUGGAGGUCAAGGCAGCACUUUAGUUCAGUCAUUCCCCAACUUUCUUCACAAUCCCUUUAGUUUUGUCUUGAUACAGCCUCGAUAUCUAUUAUUAUCCUCAUGCAACAUCCCUAAUUAAACAACUCUAUUCAAUGUUUAUACUCAAGAUCUGUUAACUUUUUGUGUAUUGCUUGAUGCACUUAGAUGCACAGAUUCUAGCACGAUAAUAAUUUGAUGAUGAAUUCAGCUACAUUGCUCUUCAGAAUAUAAAUCCCCGCAUGCUCCAAGAACCAUUUGGUCCAGAGAUUGUUUUGUACAAUAACAUAUGGUUCAAUGCUGAUAAUGAUUUUUGUUACUUUAACUAAAGAAAGCAAAUUGAAGGAAGAGCAUCUGAUUAAAGAAAAAAUAUAAUGUUAUGAAACAGUCAAGUAUCUGAUCGCACAUGAACUUCAUGAUUAGGAGAGCAUUUACCAGUGAUGUCCUCUGUAGCUCAGGGUUCAAGAACUCCAAAAUGCGUGCAACAACAUAGAUAAAAUUCAGAUCAGCGACCAAAGUGUCUUCAAUACCAGGCUUUAGAACUUUAAUCACCACAUCCUUCUGAGAACUCUUCAACCUAGCCCCAUGAACCUGAAUGACAAUGAAUUAUCUCAAUGCUUCAACAGCAGACUGCAAGACUGCAUAAUGUAAUCCAAUAGGUUCUGGGAGAAACCUGUGCAAUUGAGGCAGAGGCUAUUGGCACAUGAUCGAUGUAUUCAUAUACACUAUCUAAUGGCCGCUGCAACUCCUCACGCAAUAUUGACUCAAUCACGUCAUAUGGGACAGCUGGUGCUCGGUCAAAGCAGUUCUGGAAUUCCUCGACAUAUUCUGCAGGAAACAAAGUUGGUGCAGAUGCUAUGAACUGCACCAUCACACAGUCCGUUGACUAUCAAUACCCAAAUAAACAGAAAUUGUACAUCUUUUUCAAUGGAGCAGAAACGGUACAUAACCAUGGAAUCAGAAAAUUAUUCAGACUCAACCCCCGCACCCCCUCAAAAGACCAUCCAAGAGAAGGUAAUAUGUUGACUUCAAUUCAAGUCUAGUGAUCAUCUAAGGAUGCUAUUUUGCAUGAUCUUGUUCUUGUUCAUUAAGAAGUUCUUUCAUUUACCGUGUAUACAUAAUUAUUACAACUAAGAAUGUCAUUACACAUUAAGAAAUUUAAAACAUUUCUAUUGGUUAUCUAAUAUAUUAGGGAUUGCCAUCAAUCAUAGAACAAAGUUCGAAGAUGCCCUUACCUGGCCUAGCUUGAUAUAAGUUGCACCCAUGCGCUCAAAAAGUCUUCUAAGGUAAAGGGGAGAAAGCAAACCAAGCUGCAUCUGAGCUGGAAUUCCUGCUGAUGCAUUAGCUGUCUGCAAUAGAUUAAGAGAACAAAAUUAUAUUCCUGCUGAAAUUAAAAUCCAAAUCACUGAUAAGAUCUCAGUAAAAUAUGAGUUACUCAAAACUCAGACUCUGGGUAACUUGCAACGAUGAAACCAAAAUUCCAUCUCAACCCUACUAAUGUCCCUAAAAGCUCACCCAACUCAUUCAAUAAGUUCGGUAACAGUUUGGUGCUGAUCCUACCACAAUCCGCUAUGACUCUUUGACCCCUCAACGUACAAGCAUGUAUCCAAAUGGGUGUGAAUGUUGGAAUGUGCGCGCCAUAGAUGCGUGCAUGUGUGAUUUUCUUAAAUCAGCAUUUCCUUUAUUUCACAAGUGACCUUUCAUCUAAUGAUUCCCUCCCUUUUGGGAGGCCUACAAGAACAUUUGCAGGUUCAAUCACACCAGAAGAUAUGCGAAGACAAUACUAAAGCACAAAACAGGAAAAUGUUCGAACCUUUGAGAGGUCAUUCAGCCACUCCCCACCAACCCCAAGCACAGCUUGGAUCCCUUGCGCCAUCCUGAAAGCACCUCGAGGUCCUGUGCUAAUUGAUGUCUGGAGAAGGUCCUCGACUAAUUUAGGUAACUCACCAACUCUAUCUGCAUUUAAAUGAAAAAAAAAAGAGCGAAGUAUGGGAUGUUAAGCUCACAAAGAACAAACAAACUUGAAAUCCACAUAUUCAUCCCCUUUUCACUCCACCCAACAGAUCCCCAUCUAUACUAUCAACAGUGCCAACCACCACAUACAUAUGAUAUUCAACAUCUUCAUUUCCCAUCACUCUGACACCCUCCCUCCUAGCAAACUAGAUGACAUUUAUACGGAAAUAACAGAAUCAGUUUUUAGCAAAGAACAAACAAACUUGAAAUCCACACAGUCAUCCCCUUGCCACUCCACCCAACGGAUCCCCAUCUUCAUUUCACAUCACUCAGACACUCUCCUACCUAGCAAACUAUAUGUCAUGGAUACAGAAAUUACAGAAUCAGUUUUAGCAGAAGACGAGGUACGCCAGGUAGUAACUACAGCCACGGGGAUGAAUCAAAAUCAAUUGAUUACCUUGGAGGCGCGUGGAUAAGUCCUGGGCCUGGGAGUAGCGCGCGAAAACCCUGACCCCGACCUGGGCCCGCCUCCGCCCCUCCCGUCCGCGUCCGGCCCCAAUCCCGGCCCCACCCACACGGAGCGAGCCUCCCCCGCCGGACGGCACCUGCAACAGACCCCAGUCAAUCCGCCAGCCGCGUCACGCAAUCUACUCGAAGAAAACCUCGCUCCAGCGCCAAUGGAAUCCGGAGCAGCUGAACGCAGACUCUCGUGUGAAAUGGCGAGAUGAGAGAAGAGGGGAGAGGUGGGGCGGGACGGGCAGCGGGCUUACCUUGGGGACGCGGCGGUGUUGGUGGAUGAGGAGAGGGGAGCGCGCCGCGGAAGCGCACCUCGCGGCCGCCGCCAUAGUGGAGAGGAGAGAGUGGGUGGGCGGCUCGCCGGCGUCGGGCUGCGGCGGCAGUGUGGUCAAGUGUGAAGGGUGUGGGCUGGGUUUUUACUUUUUUGUGCCGGGGUCUUAACGGGUGUAACGGCGGAGGAGGCGACACGUGUGCAGGGUAGUGGCCUCGCUUCUGUUCCGUUCCGUUCCGCGCCGGCCAACGGCGUCGCGUGAUAUUCUUGGCAGGUUCCGCCCGCGUGAUACUGGUCAGAAAUUCAGAAAUCCUGAAUCCUCUUUGCUUCUCAUGUGUCCCAUGAUUUGCAUGUUAUAACUAAAUUACCGUAUCAAAUCUCAUGUCUCAGCUUGAGCGAGAUUUACUGUUAGGAAAGAAUUUUUCAUAAAUCUUUCAUAUCCCCGUACCGUUGCAUUUUUCCGUUUCUCCAUUUUUGUUUCUUGGAAAAUCGAAGUUUCCUGAUGUGAACAUCAUGUGAUACUCGCUUAGCGGCUUAGGCACUACACAAACACCUUCCAAACAUACUGUUCCAAGUUGUAGAGACGGGUUCUUGCUGGAAUUGCAAAACAAAAAAAACUCACGAGUAAACAGUAACCUUUUGUGGCACAAACUAACAACGAAUUUUAUGUUGUUCAACAUCGCACAGAAAUGAUGCUUUAAAUACUUAGGCCGUGUUUGGAUAGCAGGGGCUAAAGUUUAACCCUGUCACAUCGAAUGUUCGGAUGCUAAUUAGUAGGACUAAAUAUGAGCUAAUUAUAAAACUAAUAGCAGAACCCCUAGGCUAAAUCGCGAGACGAAUCUAUUAAGCCUAAUUAAUCCAUCAUUAACGAAUGGUUACUGUAGCAUCACAUUGUUAAAUCAUAGGCUAAUUAAGCUUAAUAGAUUCGUCUCGCGAUUUAGCCUAGGGUUGUGUAAUUAAUUUUGUAAUUGGCCUAUAUUUAAUACUCCUAAUUAAUGUUCAAACAUCCGAUGUGACAUGGGCUAAAAUUUAGCCCAUGCCUCCCAAACACCCCCUUACAUUAGCAGCUGCAGCCGCUGAUUGCAUUACAUGUAACAUCAUUACGAGUAAAAUGCAUCUCGAUGAGUUCAUCUCCUUCAGUGCUGCCAAGAUAGUGCCCAUCUCCAGUUAUGCCAGCACUUGAAACUAAUUUUUCCUUUGGAAAAAAAUCUAGUGGGAAUGAUUUUACCAGUGUAUAGAAAAAUUAGAAAAGCUACAAAAACUCCGAACUGGCAAAAGACCACUAUUGUUGUUCCCCGAAAGCUGGAAAUCACUUCCGCAUUAAUAAUCGAAUAAUUUGUCAGUACAGACUAUGAAGUGAAAACAGCCUGCCCACAGAGAACAUUAUAAGACUAUAGUGGUCUUUAGCAGAUUUUCAUAUGGUCGGCCCCAAACUACACUUCCAGUCCAGACAAACGGAGCAUAACUCCAUUCUUAUCCUUGUUAGACUUCCUCGACCUGUAAAAUAGAAGUUUUACACGUUGUCAUUUAUUAUUUAUGCGAACAAGACAGAGGCAAAGUUGCUAAAAUAUGCAGAUAGCAGGUCAGGAACCUUUCUGCCAGCAUAAUCACUGAAAAGACUUCAUCAGUGUUUCAGGUAAAAUAUCCUUACAACUAAAGGCAUCACAUUGAAACGAACAGCAGGUUGUUUAGUCAAAAGAAUCAAUAAGAAUGCCUAUCCUCAUGGUCAAAAUAUGUUGCUGGAACCUUACAAAUGACACUGAGCAUUACAUGAAGAAACUUGCAAAAGGAUCUUGGUUUGUUUGUUUUUGAGAUAAUUUGGCUGCUUAGACAAAUUGGUAAAUCAUUGCUUCAGGUUUGUUAGCCAAGCACGAACAACGGCUUGGUGAAAUGGAAACCAAAAAUUGCCUAUUUGAAAUGUAUUAACUUAAAAACUGUGAAGUCAUUAGGACAACUUUGGACAGCAAUUUGAAAUACAGCAAGAAUUUGAAGGCUGUCUGCGGAAUAAAGUAAAUUUGGUACAGUGAAUCAAAUGUUACAUCAAAUGGUUUACCUGAGGAAGAUUCAUCAACUCCAUAACCGCCUUCUUCGGAGUCAAUUCAUUAUCAAUUAUCCGCGCUACCGCAGUCAGGACUGGCAUUUUGACAUUGUACUUCUGAGCUAACGCAAUGACAGCCCCAGCAGUUGAUACACCUUCAGCAACCUAAAGGCAGAAGAAUACAGUGAAUUACAAAUCAAAAUCAUACAGGUCACAUUUGAUGUCAUAGAAAGAAUGCAGCCCACCUGAUUCAUCGAACUCAUGAUUUGGUCGAGUUUUUCGCCUGAACCAAGACGCAGUCCCACAUUUCUAUUCCGUGAAAGAUUGACAAAACAUGUAAGCAUGAUGUCACCCGACCCAGACAAACCAGAAAGAGUUAUCGGCUUCGCUCCCAUCUUCAAUUUAAGAAGUUCAUCUCAGUGAAUGUGGCAAGUUUUCAGACUUCACAAGCAAGAGAAAUGCAGAUGAUAGAUAUUGCGGACCUUUGUUGCCAGCCAUCGUAUUUCUGAACAACCUUGAGCAACAAGGGCAGCCAUACAAUUAUUCCCAAGAUUCAUACCUUCCACUAUACCUGCUGCUAUAGCAAGAACAUUCUUCAGCGCACCUGCAAUUUCUACUCCUGUAACAUCACUGAAGUACCAUAGGUCACAUUCAAAUAUUCUUCUGAUGUUACAAUAUAAUAGCUCUACUAAGGUAACUCUUCCAUGUGGAAUAUACUAGUCGUAAAUUUUAGACUACUAGUUUAAUUUUAGCUGAAAGCUGAGGAAAAAUCCUUGAGCUUUUCUUUCUGUACUAUUGAAUGACGUUCUGGAACUCAGCAAGUACCACACUUAGGAAAAAAAAAUUGCACAGAUUAUAGUAUUUUUUUUUAAAAAAAGGAUCUAUAGUAUUGUUUUUAUUCCUCUGAAUUUAGCAUAUGGGUCAUUUUCUGUGUUUUCUUAACAUAGAAAUCAAAGAGUACUGUAAACAGAUGAUCACAGAUUCACUAUUUCAUUCAUGCUUGCCUCUCUCAUCUCAUCUUCUCUACUAAUUUCCAUAAAAAGAAGUCAUUUUUUUGUAAAAGAAAAGGUUUUGCAUGUUAUAAAGUUGGUUGUCAUACCCUUGGUGAUUAAGUCUUGGAACUAGGCAUUUUUACCUUGAUGUGCUUAUCCUCAAAUUUGGGGAAGCUAACAGCUGCUGAACAGAACUUGCCAACUUUUUGUCUUUUGAUGCCACCACCAUCGCUGCAAUUUCAAAGUUAAACAACCAUGAUCAUCAAUCCAAAUUAGCAGAUUCAAAGUUCUUAAUUAAAGGAAGAAAUAAAAAAGGCUAGUUACACAUAUAUUAUUAAAUACUAGUAGGAUAGCUUGUUUAAUUGUAUGAUUUCACACCUAUGAUCAAAGGUGAAGUUGUACAAGAUCUUUGUUAUUUGUUAAAAAUACUGUAAUAAAACUGUAGUUGCAUUUACUAUAUUUACAGUACAAUAUGGUCGCAACAGAAUAAGUAGCCAGACUCUCUGUUUGCUCUCGAUUGAUGAGGCUCUUGGAUUCUUUCAUCACCCCCACCCCCCACCCCGGCCCCCCUUCAGAUUUUCUGAUUCUUAGCAUUAUUAUGGUGCCAAAUUUGUGUUCAUACUUCAUAUACAGAUAUGUGAAAAGAAAAGUUUAAAAGAAUUCAUGUAGAAAUAUAUUACCAUCAAUCAACAUAGAGCCUGAAAAAGAUAAAACAGGUUAACAAUAUGAAAAAUGACAGCAAACCUGUAGGCAAUUUGUUCAUUAGUUCUACUGCAAAAGAAGGUCCUGAUAGAACAAUAAAUGGUUGGCGGCGGUUUCCCAAUGCUCGUGGGAUGAUUUUAGACAUUGUCCGAAGGGUAUUGAGUUCCAGCCCUUUGCUAAGUGAUAUGAAUGGCAACUUUGGAUCAACAUGUGUUGAAAUACUUUCAAGAAAGGAUGAACUGAACUGCCGCAAAAAAUAUCAGAGUCAAAAAGGACGAAAUCCCUGCAGAAAGCACAAUGCUUCAUAAAGAAAUGUGAAUACCUGAACCGGAACAGCAUGGAAGCAGAAAUCAGCUCCUGCUAAAGCAUCAGCAGCACUUGUUGUUGCAACAAUAUUUUCUGGCAAUCUGUGUUCUGGUAAGUAUUUGCUGCAGUAAAAUGACAAGUUGUAAUGCAGACGCACUCAUAAUAUUUUCCCAUAGAAAUGAAAACAGGUAUUUAUAAACAUGAGUAAAAUAGUUUUACCAUUUUCUCUUUUACGGGAGGCCAAAUAGUAUAUCUACAUGAAUUGCAAUUUAGCAUAUUCUCCAUAUAUAUAUCAAAAUUCAUCUCCAUGUUGCUAGCAAAAUGGACAUUUAGGAUAAAUAAGUUGGCACACAGUUAUAUGUGCUCUUGAAUUCAAGUCAGUUUAAAUCAAAUGUGGAAUAUUUGAACAUUCUCAUUCCUCGGCAACAAUGUCCAUCAGAUAUAUUUUUAAUCUAGGACUAUUGCACUUUCAGGAACAACAUCAAUGGGAAUGCACAGUCAAAAUUGAUGCUAAACGCUUGUGUACUUAGUUUUCUCAAUCCGGCCGAUGUUCAUCAUAAGAAUGGGAUGAUCUCAAACUCCCCGUGCCAUGGGUGCUGAUCAAGAAUCUAAAUUUUGAUUAAUAGAAAUAAGUAUCUUUCCUAGAAUUUAAUGGCAGAUGCUCCGAGAGUAAAACAAGAAUGUAACAAACUGUUUCCCCGCACCUAUCAAGAAAGGUUCAAUGGGGGCAGCAACGUUUACGAACCAAUUGAUAUGGCUGUGGUUGAUGGACCGGCAGACGAAAUCGUCCCUGACCAGCAUGGACACCUCGAGGUCGGCCUUCUUGGCCGCCACGUGCGCCGCCAUGGCCGUCCCGAACGACCCUCCCCCGAGAACCACCAGCUGCAAAACCCACCCACACCCAGUCAGCCUCUCCCAAUCAGAUCCUGCAAUGCAAAGGAAGUGAAGCAUCCCGGCCCGGAGAGCGCGCGCGCGAGCCUAACCUUACGCGUGCUCUCGAGGACGUCGCUGCGGUUGCGGCGGCGCCAGAAGCGGGACCACCGGACCAGCUUCUCCCACGCGAUGCGCACCGCGCGGCGGCGGUCCUUGCGCGCGCUCCUGCGCGGCGCGGCGGCGUCGCCGUCGUCGUCGUCGCUGGAGUCCUCGUCAUCCGGCAUCGGCACGGCAUCGGCGGCGCCCGUGAAGAUGGGAGGAGGGCGGCGGACGGCGGCGGCGAGGCGGGGGCGAGGUGUCGGGAUGGGAGGGAGGAAGGUGGUGGUGGCGGCGGCGGCGGCCAUCGGAACGGAGAGUCGGAGAGAGGGCAAUUUUGCGCGGCCUCGUUUUGUUAUCUUAUCCGUUCCCGCCUUUUGCAGCUUCGCUUCUUUCUCUGUGUUUUCAUUUCAUUUCUUUUCUUUUCUUCUCUUUCUUCUCUUUUUUUUAAAAGACUAUAUUUACCUGAGCAUUUUCUACCCUGUGCUUCAGCCUUGGUUAUUCAACUUCAUGGUUUUUUACUAGGUUAUUCUGAUUCGGUUCUGCAAGGCUGGGUAACCUAAAGUAAACUAUUUACGGUGGCGUAGAAACCAUUUACAUGUAACAAUUUUGUUACGCAGAAACGCUUCUUUUUUGGUCCGGUUGGAUAGUGACCACUUCAUCAGAUGCCCUGGAUUAGCUUUGCAACUGAUCAAUUUUUGUACCCCGAUAAUUGUUUCCCUCCUCUGCUUUUUCCAAGCUCCAGUUUCCAGAAAUGACAGCUCAGGCAUAAUUUACCUGCUACGCCGCACAAAAGCCUUUUCCUAGCCGCAUUUGCAAUGUGGUUUCAGGUGGAAUACAACCUAAUUCACAAAACCACUCAUUACGCUUUCAUAACCACUUUAUGCAAACCAUAUACGAGCAAACAUACCAGGAAAUUGAAAGUGACACUUUUUCAUAAGGAGAAUACCACAUACAGAUUCGUUCAUAUCAAAUGCAACACGGCCAAAACGCAGACCAUGCAACUGCAACCAGUAUAACCAGUUGACACCGACACGGAUGUAAAGACCAAAAGAUAGCAUUAGCUCUUGAUGAUUUUCAUUCAAAACCAGAUGACACCACCAUAAACAAAAAAAUUCAGAUGUCCAAAUUGCUCGUACCCUCUUGGCUCACCUAGUAAAGUGUUCUAAUUCUCCUAGCAACUAGCAAGCCCCAGAACCAAGCAAUCAAGCAUAACAUUAAGCCCAGGUCCAAAAUGCAGAACAUCACUGAAACAUGCUAUAUCUAGUGCGAUUUGACAUACUCCUGCACUAUGUUAAGGCCCUCAGAUUCUUCACCAUAGUCCUGGUAAUCAAAACAAAGCAGCAAGACGUCAUGUUUGCUGCCUACGUAAACCAAAAUAGUUACUUGCAAUAGGACAGGACAGUAAGUGAUUGACAUGUUACCUUGACAACGACACAGGAGCAGCCAACAACCUUCCUUGCCUUGCCCUCAGAGUCAAUCUUGCAAAGCUGCAAAGCACCAUAAGGUGAAUCUUGUUACAAUCAAGACUCAACUUCGUACAACAGAAUGCAGUAGAAUAGCAGCACACAGCAUGGCGGAGAAUGGCAUGCUUGAGAAAAUUGAAGCAACUGAACAAAAUAAAAACGAACUGUAAAGCAUAAAAUUCACAAACAAUUAGUAAAAUUUCCCCUGUCAAUAGGAGGUGGAGAAUUGUAAGCCACAAAAUGAAUGCUGUAAUUAAUAAUCCAGUAACACCAUCUAGGCAGCAAUAGCAAUACUAUGUAGAAAGAAGCAGAUGCUCUACAGAAGGAUUUUCUAACUUACCCCAGCCCACUCGCCAAGAGUUUUAGAGGCAGGCACAGUGACCAGGUGCACAUUGUGCUCAGCACAGAGUGCCUUCACCAGCUUGACAUAAUCAGGCUGGUCGCAGUCCUCAGCAAGCACGCAGAGCUGAGCGACAUGCUUCUCAAUGGCCUUGGCAGCCUCACGAAGACCCUUCACGAGCCCAUCGUGAGCGCUUGACUUCUUCAUCACGAGCUGCAGAGCAGUCAUCAAGUCCAUCGGCUCUCCAAGAACCGGGGUAGGUGCCUCAACUGCAACCGGAGCCUCCUGAUCCCUGCCAAAUCAUAAAAUCUUGGUGAGUUGAUUGCCAAGCCAUAACUCAAACCGCUUGUAUCUGUUAUUAGGCUGCUCAGCUCUAAUCAACAAGCAACAGGGAAAGAGGCACAGGGCGGUAAGAACUUAAAUAUAUGGUUUAAGCCCAUUGCUACACUUAUUAGUAGGCUACCAGUCUUGUUAUCUCAAAUCAACAAAGAUAACACAUUCAUCUCUCACGAUUGGUUAAACUGGUACACUAAAUUUGAGGCAAGUCUUACCAUAUGUAAACAUGAUCCAGGUGUAAAUCGAACCCAAUCAGCCACCCAAUUAGUAGUCAAAACCAGCAAUUUCUUGUGUGCCAGCAACUAGAAGUUUAAAUUGCACAAUGAAGUGAUUUGGAAUUCUAUGCUAGAAACUACAGCAAGAUAAAAUACUUAUCACCCAACAUCCAAGAAACAUCGAUGCACUCUGCCAGAAAACGUCCCUCCAGGCCUCCACCAAAUAAACAGGACUAGCGCGCCAUUACACAGCUCUACCGGUGCGAUGGUUGUGCACAAAUUAAAUCACUCACGGUUGGAACGGAGACCAAACAGAAACUUUCCAUCCCAAGCAGUACAUUCGGCACAGACUGCAACUAAAUCUACCGAACUACUACCACGACACUCUCAAAAUAGAGCAGGCAUAUCGCAAAAGACCGGCAACAGUUCAGCGCAAAACAUCUAGAACGAUCUCGCACCAAAGCAACCAGGACCUAAAACUUCUUUCACCGUUCGCGAAACCAAGAUUUAAGAAACGGGCAGCUACAAAGAUUUCGAUGGGGGAACUUACGCCAUCUCCCGCGCUGCGAAGGGGACCCUGGUCGGAUGCGAAGGUAGAUCUGGAGCAGGCAAGCGAAAGGUUAGUAGAGAUUAGCAAGAGAGAUGGAAGGAAGAAGAAGUGACAGGAGCGCGCCGCCACCUGGGAGGGGAGGAGGGAGCUGAGCAGCUGCUAGGGUUUUGGCGAGACGGCGGGUGGAGGGUGGUGCCUAGUGUGUGGACUUGUUGUAUCGCGGCUCGCUGGGGCGGGCCAUUCCGGGCCUUCGUGGGCCUAAUGUUUCUCUGGGGUCUGGGCUUAGUUCACUGCUCCAUUUAUUUUUAGAUUUAAGGUGUCGUUCAAUUAAUAAUACUGAUCCUUUCAAAAACAAUACUGAUAUAAAUUAUAACUUGUUGUGACAGUUAAAAAUAAAAUAAUAUGAAUUUUGGGCUAGCGCUUUCGUGAUCCAGGUAGCAUAUUCCUGCCAACUUUCUACUCUCUCCGUCCCAAAUUGUAGAUCGUUUUGGCAAAAUAACCUACAAUUUAAAACAGAUGGAGUAGAAAUGAGAUCACCCGUAACCAUUUUUAUUAAAUGAGUUUGGUUUUUAAAAAAAAGUCAAAAUGACAUUAGGCAUUCAAUACAUAAAAUAAUUAGGGUCACCCGCAGAUGCAUCCACCCAGGCCGUGGUCCGGGGCAUGCAAACCAAGAGUAAAUUUUGUCCCUUUGCAAUAUUUCAAACUACCUCAAGAUGCAUGGUCACUUAUUGGGUCACAAUUGGAAUUGGUAAGUUUAUAUCAAACAUUAAUUCCUUAUGAAAGAAAAACAUUAAUUCAGUCUCGAUCCUCCGAAUUGAAUAGCUUGAUACAGCAUAUGGAUGAAAUGUCCAAAGUAGGUCACGCUGAUAAUCCGUCCUCAAUUACAAUAAAACGUACGUGAUGCUGAAAGUAAUUAUUCCUGACACACAUGGAUGAAUAGUUAUAAAACUAUUUGAGUUUAGCACCAACUUGUCAAUAGAUCUCAUGGAAAAUGUAACCAGGGGCGGAUUUGGCCCGGGCUGCUCAGGCUGCAGCUCGAGGCAAGCCCAAGAAAACUGAGAACAAGUUUUAUAAAAAUGCCAUAAAAAGGUCAAGCAGCCUAUUAGCCCACCCCGACGCGAGGUGAGCCCAGCAGGCGGAACCUAGCACUGGCCGGCUGGCCACGCGCCUCCCGUCCGCACUCGUCAUGCCGCGCCGCCUCCUGUGCCUCCCGUCCGCACUCACCUUCACCCCCGGCCCCGCGCCCCCGUCGGCCGUGCGCCCCGCUGCCGCCACCCGCCAGGUCGCCGCCUCGUCGGUCGCCCUUACCCCCCGUGGCCCCGCCGACCAUGCGGCCACGCCCCCACGCCGCCACCUGCCAGGGACAGUGCUCGCAAAAAGCCCAAAGGAUAGUGUUAGACUUGUUAAACAUCAUGACUUGGGCUAGGUUGAAAGGAUCUAAUCUAUUUAGGGACUUAACUGCGAAAACUAAGGGCUUAAACGCAUUACAAACUUAAACUUGGACUGGAUCUCGGGGUUAUGACUUUUCUCGGGGUCUAAACCACAAAAGGGCUUAUCUUCUUCCUCACCUAUCCACUUGGCCGGACAGACUUGCCAGCGGCGGCAGCCGGGGUCGGGGCGGCUCGCGGCUGCAGUGCUCGGCGGCAGUGCUAGGCACAGGAGCGCGCGAGACGGCCUGGGGAGGCAGCGACGCAAGGCGGCGCGGCG